AUUGUCAAAUUUCUGCUAGUAUAAUUAUAAAAUUUAAUUAACUUUUUAAUUUACUCAUUACAGAUGACUCCUUGGAAUAAACUCCAGUGCCAUGCACUUGCGAUCAACUUGCAAAGUUUAGAUGCAGCAAUUGUGGUGGCACGUCGGCGAUAGUCUCCAAUAUCCCGUUGCACUUCCGGGCCAAAUUUCACUCGAACGUCAGCAAUCCUUCAGUGAAGUCCGUUGAGCGUCGGAACAUAAUCACGGAGAUGAAUAUCUAUCUCCUGCUCUAACCCAAACUGUUUGGAAAAGUCGCGCUCUAGGAGAAUUUUAUUUCAUCAAGCUUAAGGGGUUAUACGCAGUUAGAAUUUUCAAAAAAUCGUUUUUUUUUUUUUUUUUUUUUUUUUUUUUUUCAUUUUCGGAAUGUACAUAUAUUUGAGUAUAUUCUCUGAAAAUUUGAAGUCAAUCCGAUAAAUACUUUUGGAGAUAUACCUGAAUUUGUAAGGCCACGUCAGAGCGUUAGAAAGUAGGGCCAGUAAGCACUGGACGAGCAGAUGCACGCAUGAGGCGCGCUACCUGAGACCCUUUAUUCUAUUGUUUUCUUGUAAAAUACGAGUAUAAUAGUUAGGUAUACUAAAGACUUGAAGGUCACAUCCAGUUAUAUUAUAACCUAAAAGAAGUGUUUCGUCAGUCUAAAUUGUUCUGCUAAGUUGUAAAGUCGUGCGUUCAGUUCAAACUUACUUGUGAAUUUUGUGUUUUAUUGUGAAUUUUAUUUAAACGUGAAAAAAAUGCCUCGUAAAUGUUCGAGAUCUCGUAGAAGUACCGAAAAUGUCCAAAUAUCUAGAAGAAAGAAGAGAACACCGACUUUUAAUCCAAAGACUACUGAAACGGAUGAAAGUAGUUUUAGUGCGUCUGCUAAAAAAUUCAAAAUGCAGAAAGAGAUUUUAGUUUCACGUGAUCCUUCGAUUGAAUAUAGAAUUUUAAACUUCAUUACAGUAUUUGGUGCGAUAAGUGAAUAUGUGCAAUGUAGGUCUUGUAAGGGAAACAUAAAAUUUGAAACUGCUUCUACCCGUGGACUAGGUUUUAAAAUCGUUGUACUGUGUGAUAAGUGUGAGAAUCGUGUGAUAAACUCCAGCCCUUUUGUCAAGCAUUCUUACGAAUUAAACAGAAGAUUUAUAUUUGUGAUGAGAAUUCUGGGACUAGGAUUAAAAGGUGCAGCUAAAUUUUGUGGCUUGAUGGAUAUGCCUGCUUUUUUAACACAAAACACUUAUGACUUGAUUAUUGAGAACAUUCAUUCUUGUGUGAAAGUAGCAGCUGAAAAACUGUUUGAAAAAGCCUGUACCGAGGAAAAAGAAGCGACUGCUGGAAACCAAGGUGACCAAAAUGAUGGAGAAUUAACAGUUUCGGGUGACGGAACCUGGAAGAAGCGAGGGUAUUCUUCUUUAUCAUUGUUACACAUUAUGAGUGCAUUAGGGCUUUCAUUAGGCACCGCAGCUCAUGAUUAUGCUCAGAAAGAGGACGCAGAGCGUGUGAUGAUCUCCGACGCGAGAGCGCUAGGGAGCACGCGCGAAGAAAGAAUGGCUCGACGACAACACCAGCUGGACUUACUGGAAGCUAAGGAUCCUACACAAGGUCCCUCUUAUGGCCCAGGAAUCGAUGAUACCAUGUAAGUUUAAAAAAACAAAAUUUACCUAUGUGUAAACUACUUCUGAAACUUUAAACGCGUUUAUCUCAAAACUGUCAUUUCAGAGUCGGUGAGCAAGAUUUCUCAGAGAUGGCUCAGCUAAUCGGGCUGAAAUUUUAACACAAUCUUUUUAGAUACAUUCUUCAGAUAAUCCAAACCGACGAAAUCGUGCUCACCGCCGAGCGCCUUUUUUUGGAGGUCGUUCGGGACAUCAUCUGCAGAGGCGGUGCACAUCAAUAUUUUGACACGAGUAAUACACAAUUAUAUUCUUCAAAGUGUGCUCUUUCAGAAUUAAUAUCACUUUUACUUAAAAAAUAAAAGCUGUGUCCACAAAAAAAUCGUAAAAAAACGUUAUUUUUAAGCCUCGCAACUGCGUAUAACCCCUUAAUGAAUUACGCUUAUCAAAAGUACCGGUUUGUGGUUACGGAAUCUUAUCAUCAAUCUCUCGUUUGACGGCCUCUAAUUUAUCUAUGCUGACAAAAUGUUACUAACAAUCUCUAAGGACAAAUUAAGUGUAAGCUUACGAAAAAAGAAUAGUGGAAAAAUGAAAUUAAAUUCGUU